rnacentral:tRNA from 1 species
GGUGGCUUAGUGGUAGAGUGCUUGCCUUGCAUGCAUGGGACCCUGGGUUCAAUUCCUCAGCACCA